UACUUCUUGAUCCAAAGGCUGACAGAA
rnacentral:piRNA from 1 species